GACCAAAUCUAGACUCACCUAAGAACACCUAGAACCAUCCUUUGGACACAUCUGUGAGGGAUUCUCUACAAGGUCAGCCUCUCAGUGUCAGUGAGGGACUCCCUCGGUUAUGUUAACUGAUGUGGGGCAGGAUCACUCCUGGGCAGAUGUGGACUGUAGAAAUGGAGAGAGGCAAGCAGCAGCAUUCCCCCUCUGGAACCCCAACUGUGGACACUGAGCAGCAGCUUCCUGCUCCUGCUGCCUUGAGUUACCAGUCACAGCGCACUGCACUUUUCACUUGUGAACCAGACCUGUUUCCUGGCUGCUAGGACAAGAAAGCACUGAAUGUUCAAGGUUUUACCCUCCAAACCCAAGUCUACCACAACACCCAGUUUUAGCUUCUGCCAUACCAACCACAGCAAAAGAGAGGAAAGACAAGCAUUCUAAGAUAAAUGCAAGAAGGGAUGAUACAAUGACAGCAGCAGGGGACUGGAGCCUGUCAACCUGUGAUGAUACAGCAAACUGCCCAACAUGUGCAACGUUCUGGAUUCUACUGCGACAUCAAAAAAAAUUAAAUUAACAAACAAUAAAAAGGA